rnacentral:lncRNA from 1 species
UUCUAACCCAAUUACAAUAAGCAUAAAGUGAACCAAAGGGGAAUUACAUGGCUUUAUAGUCAGAGGAGGAGAGGGACGCGCGCGGUGAGCAGGUGAGGGACGCGCGCGACCGGCCAGGGGCGUUGUCGGAAUUUCCACAGUGCACUUUAAGUCGUAGCCGUUGGAUCGAAGAUCGGCGGCCGAUAACGCUUCAGACAUCCUC